rnacentral:tRNA from 1 species
GCCUGCAUAGCUCAGUCAGUAGACCAUUAGACUUUUAAUCUGAAGGUCACGGGGUCUUGUCCCUCUGUGGGUG